rfam:Nematostella vectensis strain CH2 x CH6 NEMVEscaffold_157_Cont16224, whole genome shotgun sequence.
ACAACGGCUCUUCUAGGAGCCACCCACUUUUAUGAAAGUCAUACCU